GUGGGGAAUCUUAGACAAUGGGCGCAAGCCUGAUCUAGCCAUGCUGCGUGAGCGAUGAAGGCCUUAGGGUUGUAAAGCUCUUUCGCUGGGGAAGAUAAUGACUGUACCCAGUAAGAAGCCCCGGCUAACUCCGUGCCAGCAGCCGCGGUAAUACGGAGGGGGCUAGCGUUGUUCGGAAUUACUGGGCGUAAAGCGCGCGUAGGCGGAUUGGAAAGUUGGGGGUGAAAUCCCGGGGCUCAACCUCGGAACUGCCUUCAAAACUCCCAGUCUUGAGUUCGAGAGAGGUGAGUGGAAUUCCGAGUGUAGAGGUGAAAUUCGUAGAUAUUCGGAGGAACACCAGUGGCGAAGGCGGCUCACUGGCUCGAUACUGACGCUGAGGUGCGAAAGCGUGGGGAGCAAACAGGAUUAGAAACCCGGGUAGUCC
rnacentral:rRNA from 1 species